UUUCUUAUUAUGUGACUAUAGAAAGAUAUCAAAAAUGCAUUUAAAUUUUCCUAUAGAGAGGAAAUAUGUAGAUCAUAAUGAAGAAUUUCCAGUCAUAUGCCUCUAAAAGGGAAACACAUGAACCAUGGGAGUUCCCUGCUGGGGGACAAACAUGAGAUAUUACAAAGGUAUGACAGGUCAUCACCUAGAGAGUGGGUACUCUACUUAUAGCUACAAUCCUGCCUUCCAAAUGAAAUACAAAGGAGAGAGAUCAUAGUUUCAUGAAGAUAAGUAUUAGACUUGUAACCAGGACACCCUGUUUUGUACCAUCUCUUUAUGUAAUCUUGGACAUAUUUAUUUUCUUCACUGUGCCUCAAGUAUCUCAUCUGUCAAAUGGUGAGGCUAGAACUUUCUGCCUAGCUUAAGGCUUCCUUGAAGAUAAAAUGUGCUGAAGAA